rnacentral:sRNA from 1 species
ACGGAUGUCACCUUCGCCUCUGACAUCUCGGCACUCUGGGCACUCUUCGCUCACUUUUCUGGUGAGACGCCUGGGAGCCUGCCUGGCCUGCCCAGGACCCCUGCAUCUAGCCCUGAGCCCAGGUCCUGUGGCAGCCUCAGUCAGCUCCCUUAUGCCCUCCCCUCCCAGACACGCAGGCGAUCGGUCUCGUGGAGAACCAGAGUGACUGGUACCUGGGCAACCUCUGGAAGAACCACAGGCCCUGGCCUGCCUUGGGCCGGGGAUUUAACACAGGACAUAUUCAACGCUGUGAUCAAGGAGCACCCGGGGCUAGUGCGGCGUCUGCCUUGUGUCUGGAAUGUGCAGCUGUCAGAUCACACACUGGCCGAGCGCUGCUACUCUGAGGCGUCUGACCUCAAGGUGAUCCACUGGAACUCACCAAAGAAGCUUCGGGUGAAGAACAAGCAUGUGGAAUUCUUCCGCAAUUUCUACCUGACCUUCCUGGGGUACGAUGGGAACCUGCUGCGGAGAGAGCUCUUUGUGUGCCCCAGCCAGCCCCCGCCUGGUGCUGAGCAGUUGCAGCAGGCCCUGGCACAACUGGACGAGGAAGAUCCCUGCUUUGAGUUCCGGCAGCAGCAGCUCACUGUGCACCGUGUGCACGUCACUUUCCUGCCCCAUGAACCGCCACCCCCCCGG